rnacentral:rRNA from 1 species
AACGAACGCUGGCGGCAUGCCUAACACAUGCAAGUCGAACGAGACCUUCGGGUCUAGUGGCGCACGGGUGCGUAACGCGUGGGAACCUGCCCUUAGGUUCGGAAUAACUCACCGAAAGGGGUGCUAAUACCGGAUAAUGUCUUCGGACCAAAGAUUUAUCGCCUUUGGAUGGGCCCGCGUUGGAUUAGCUAGUUGGUAGGGUAAAAGCCUACCAAGGCGACGAUCCAUAGCUGGUCUGAGAGGAUGAUCAGCCACACUGGGACUGAGACACGGCCCAGACUCCUACGGGAGGCAGCAGUGGGGAAUAUUGGGCAAUGGGCGAAAGCCUGAUCCAGCAAUGCGGCGUGAGUGAUGAAGGCCUUAGGGUUGUAAAGCUCUUUUACACGGGAUGAUAAUGACAGUACCGGGAGAAGAAGCUCCGGCUAACUCCGU